rnacentral:rRNA from 1 species
AGAGUUUGAUCAUGGCUCAGAAUCAACGCUGGCGGCGUGCCUAACACAUGCAAGUCGAACGAGAAAGGGGAGCAAUCCCUGAGUAAAGUGGCGACCGGGUGAGUAACACGUGACUAACCUACCCUCGAGUGGGGAAUAACUCCGGGAAACCGGAGCUAAUACCGCAUAACAUCAUUGGAACGCAGGUUCUGGUGAUCAAAGGAGCAAUUCGCUUGAGGAGGGAGUCGCGGCUGAUUAGCUAGUUGGCGGGGUAAUGGCCCACCAAGGCUUAGAUCGGUAGCCGGCCUGAGAGGGCGCACGGCCACACUGGAACUGAAACACGGUCCAGACUCCUACGGGAGGCAGCAGUGGGGAAUUUUGCGCAAUGGGGGAAACCCUGACGCAGCAACGCCGCGUGGAGGAUGAAGUCCCUUGGGAUGUAAACUCCUUUCGACCGGGAAGAUACUGACGGUACCGGUGGAAGAAGCACCGGCUAACUCUGUGCCAGCAGCCGCGGUAAUACAGAGGGUGCGAGCGUUGUUCGGAAUUAUUGGGCGUAAAGGGCGCGUAGGCGGUGCGGUAAGUCACCUGUGAAAUCUCCUGGCUCAACUGGGAGCUUGCAGGCGAAACUGCCGUGCUGGAGUGUGGGAGAGGUGCGUGGAAUUCCUGGUGUAGCGGUGAAAUGCGUAGAUAUCAGGAGGAACACCUGUGGCGAAAGCGGCGCACUGGACCACAACUGACGCUGAUGCGCGAAAGCUAGGGGAGCAAACAGGAUUAGAUACCCUAGUAGUCC